UACCUGUUCAAGGGGAUAAGCCGCCAUG
rnacentral:piRNA from 1 species